rnacentral:rRNA from 1 species
UACGUAGGGUGCAAGCGUUGUCCGGAAUUAUUGGGCGUAAAGAGCUCGUAGGCGGUCUGUCGCGUCGGCUGUGAAAACUCGGGGCUCAACCUCGAGACGUCAGUUGAAACCACCUGGCUAGAGUCCGGAAGAGGAGUGUGGAAUUCCCGGUGUAGCGGUGAAAUGCGCAGAUAUCGGGAAGAACACCCGUGGCGAAGGCGGCACUCUGGGACGGUACUGACGCUGAGACGCGAAAGCGUGGGGAGCGAACAGG